rnacentral:rRNA from 1 species
AUUGAACGCUGGCGGCAUGCCUUACACAUGCAAGUCGAACGGCAGCACGGGGGCAACCCUGGUGGCGAGUGGCGAACGGGUGAGUAAUGCAUCGGAACGUGCCCAGUAGUGGGGGAUAACCCGGCGAAAGCCGGGCUAAUACCGCCUACGACCCAUGGGUGAAAGCGAGGGGCCGUAAGGCCUCGCGCUAUUGGAGCGGCCGAUGUCUGAUUAGCUAGUUGGCGGGGUAACGGCCCACCAAGGCGACGAUCAGUAGCUGGUCUGAGAGGACGACCAGCCACACUGGGACUGAGACACGGCCCAGACUCCUACGGGAGGCAGCAGUGGGGAAUUUUGGACAAUGGGCGCAAGCCUGAUCCAGCCAUGCCGCGUGCGGGAAGAAGGCCUUCGGGUUGUAAACCGCUUUUGGCAGGAACGAAACGGCGCAAGCCAAUACCUUGCGCUAAUGACGGUACCUGCAGAAUAAGCACCGGCUAACUACGUGCCAGCCGCCGCGGUAAGAC